rnacentral:lncRNA from 1 species
CCUGUGGCUUUCACACCCUGUGGAUGAGCCAGGCCCAGAGGUGGGAGUGGGGUGAUUGUUUGAUGAAGCACCAGGUAACUCUGAAGAGUUACCCCUUCUUCUAAAGAAGUCCCCAUUCAACUUCUGGGAAGGAAUGGAUCUAAUUCGCACAGUCAAAAUGCUCCCAAAAUGAACAGGGAAGCCUUUUCUUGACACUAGGUUUGCCCUGUGCUGUGUCUUGUAUCUACAAGUCCAGCAUCCUGUCUCUCAGGUUAAAGUCCAUAAAAGAGGGGGCUGGUUCUGACUAAAGAAGAACAACUUUUCCUUUCCUUUUUCAAGUUAAUUUCACUGAGCGUUGAUGGCCAUCCUUAUGCUGGUCAUCCCUAGUAAAAUCAAGAUCUACUGAUUUCUAUGUGUCAUCUAAGAGGGGAUAUAGAUCAUCCAGAUUCACCAAGAGGUGACAAUUCCUGUCUUAACUCUCCUAGAAAAACUGGCCAUCUUCUUCUGGAAACGCAUGAUCCCUGCAUCAUGGUGUCGGGAACUGGACCAACUCUGAGGGGGCUUCAGUGCCAGCAUGACUCUAGCCCCCAGGGGAGGCAGAUUGCUAAAGAAUAUGAGGCACAGGAUGAGAAUCAGCCUUGUGCCUGGAGGCACUGGAUAUUUUUUUUGUCCCCCUUCUUCCUGUUUUUUAUUAGUUCAAAGCUAGUUCUUUCUCCCCAUGUGAGUGUGAGACUAAAAGACUCACCCAUUACCUCAUAUCCCUAUGGACCCCAACACAGUAAAUCCCAAACAUCAUCUACAUAGAAGAGGUCAGAUGUUCUGAAUUUGACCCAGGACUGGUUGUUCAUCUGACUUCUCCUCCUGCACCCAAGUUCUUAAUGUGGCUGGUGUGGCACAUGUCACACCCAAUUCUGAACUGCCCGUCUGAGUCCUGAAAGGUUCCCGACAUCUUCACCAGUUCCCCACACGUGGUCAGAACCAGUUGGCUGCCUCUCCGUGAAGGGAUGGCAAACUCAAUCCAAGACCCAGAUCUGGAAAGACAAUGAAAGCAGGAUUUGUUAGUCAUGA